ensembl:lncRNA
GUCUAUCACACCAGGCAAGACCCCAGGUGCAGGCUGUGUAAAGAUGCCCCAGAAACAAUCCAGCACAUAACAGCAGGGUGCAAGAUGCUAGCAGGCAAGGCAUACAUGGAACGCCAUAACCAAGUGGCCGGCAUAGUGUACAGGAACAUCUGUGCCGAGUAUAACCUGGAAGUCCCGAGGUCAAAAUGGGAGAUGCCCCCAAGGGUGGUGGAGAAUGACCAAGCUAAGAUCCUGUGGGACUUCCAGAUACAGACGGACAAAAUGGUGGUGGCUAACCAACCGGACAUAGUGGUGGUAGACAAACAGAAGAAGACGGCCGUAGUGAUCGAUGUAGCGGUUCCGAAUGACAGCAAUAUCAGGAAGAAGGAACACGAGAAGCUGGAGAAAUACCAAGGGCUCAGAGAAGAGCUCGAGAGGAUGUGGAGGGUGAAGGUAACGGUGGUCCCCGUGGUAAUCGGAGCACUAGGUGCGGUGACUCCCAAGCUAGGCGAGUGGCUCCAGCAGAUCCCGGGAACAACAUCGGAGAUCUCUGUCCAGAAGAGCGCAGUCCUGGGAACAGCUAAGAUACUGCGCAGGACCCUCAAGCUCCCAGGCCUCUGGUAGAGGACCCGAGCUUGAAGGAUAAACCGCCCGCAGGGGCGUGCUGGGUGUUUUUUUUUUUUUUUAUACAUACACACAUACAUACACAUACACACAUACAUACACAUACACAUACAUACACACACAUUUUGUUUAGCGAUUAAUAGAAUUACAUUUAUAAAAACCUAUGUUAGCAGUAAUGCAACAAAUCUACAUCUGUUACAGAGAUAUAUAUAUGGUACAAUCUUUCCUCGACUAAACAUCCCAGCAAAUUUACAGAGGACACAUUGUGCAAUGCUCAGAGAAACUGCACAAACAAAAUCCAAGAGCUGCAACUGAAACUCUAAAGGCCUCAGUUAGUAAGCUAAAUGUUAAAGUCCAUGAGAGUACUAUUAGAUACAGACUGUAGGAGUAAUGCUCGUUUGGAAGGGUUGCCAGGAGAAAGGCUUUCUCUUUCUGAAGAAAGAAA